rnacentral:ncRNA from 2 species
UUCCAUCUUCGGGGCAGGGUGAAAUUCCCGACCGACGGUAAGGAGCCAUGCUCUAAGUCCGUGACCUGCAAAGCUAUUCUUGCUUUGUGGCUGAUCUGGUGCAAUUCCAGAACCGACAGUUACAGUCUGGAUGGGAGAAGAUGUCG